rnacentral:rRNA from 1 species
CCUACGGGUGUCUGCAGUGAGGAAUAUUGGUCAAUGGGCGGGAGCCUGAACCAGCCAAGUCGCGUGAGGGAAGACGGUCCUAUGGAUUGUAAACCUCUUUAGGCGGGGAGCAAUGCCGGGCACGCGUGCCCGGAGGGAGAGUACCCGCAGAAUAAGCAUCGGCUAACCCCGUGCCAGCAGCCGCGGUAAUACGGAGGAUGCGAGCGUUAUCCGGAUUUAUUGGGUUUAAAGGGUGCGUAGGCGGAUUUUUAAGUCAGCGGUAAAAUGUCCGGGCUCAACCCGGGCCGGCCGUUGAAACUGGGGAUCUUGAGGGCAGGAGAGGAAAGUGGAAUUCCUAGUGUAGCGGUGAAAUGCGUAGAUAUUAGGAGGAACACCAGUGGCGAAGGCGACUUUCUGGACUGUACCUGACGCUGAGGCGCGAAAGCGUGGGUAGCGAACGGGAUUAGAUACCCUUGUAGUC